rnacentral:rRNA from 1 species
UACGUAGGGUCCGAGCGUUGUCCGGAAUUAUUGGGCGUAAAGGCUCGUAGGCGGUCUGUCGCGUCGGGAGUGAAAACUUACAGCUUAACUGUGAGCGUGCUUCCGAUACGGGCAGACUUGAGGUAUUCAGGGGAGAACGGAAUCCUGGAUGUAGCGGUGAAAUGCGCAGACUAGUCAGGAGGAACACCGGUGCGAAGGCGGUCUCUGGGAAUAUCCUGACGCUGAGGAGCGAAAGUGUGGGAGCGAACGG